AAUCUGCCCUUGACUCUGGGAUAAGCGUUGGAAACGACGUCUAAUACCGGAUACGACCUUUGGAGGCAUCUCUGGGGGUGGAAAGAAUUUUGGUCAAGGAUGAGCUCGCGGCCUAUCAGCUAGUUGGUGAGGUAAUGGCUCACCAAGGCGACGACGGGUAGCCGGCCUGAGAGGGCGACCGGCCACACUGGGACUGAGACACGGCCCAGACUCCUACGGGAGGCAGCAGUGGGGAAUAUUGCACAAUGGGCGAAAGCCUGAUGCAGCAACGCCGCGUGAGG
rnacentral:rRNA from 1 species